CAGCCGCCGAAGGUGGGGUAGAUGAUUGGGGUGAAGUCGUAACAAGGUAGCCGUAUCGGAAGGUGCGGCUGGAUCACCUCCUUU
rnacentral:rRNA from 1 species